ACUUAAAUAGCUUAUAUAGAGCAUAACAUUGAAGAUGUUAAGGAAAUAAAUUAUUUUUAGGUA
rnacentral:tRNA from 1 species